AUACGGAGGAUCCGAGCGUUAUCCGGAUUUAUUGGGUUUAAAGGGAGCGUAGGUGGAUAGUUAAGUCAGUUGUGAAAGUUUGCGGCUCAACCGUAAAAUUGCAGUUGAUACUGGCUGUCUUGAGUACAGUAGAGGUGGGCGGAAUUCGUGGUGUAGCGGUGAAAUGCUUAGAUAUCACGAAGAACUCCGAUUGCGAAGGCAGCUCACUGGACUGCAACUGACACUGAUGCUCGAAAGUGUGGGUAUCAAACAGGAUUAGAUACCCUGGUAGUCCACACAGUAAACGAUGAAUACUCGCUGUUUGCGAUAUACAGUAAGCGGCCAAGCGAAAGCAUUAAGUAUUCCACCUGGGGAGUACGCCGGCAACGGUGAAACUCAAAUGAAUUGGCGGGG
rnacentral:rRNA from 1 species